rnacentral:rRNA from 1 species
UCUCCUACGGGCGGCUGCAGUGGGGAAUAUUGGGCAAUGGGCGAAAGCCUGACCCAGCGACGCCGCGUGGGUGAUGAAGGCCUUCGGGUUGUAAAGCCCUUUCGUGUGGAAAGAACAGUCCCGCGACCAAUACUCGCGGGAUUUGACGGUACCACAGGAAGAAGCACCGGCUAACUCCGUGCCAGCAGCCGCGGUAAUACGGAGGGUGCGAGCGUUGUUCGGAAUUACUGGGCGUAAAGGGCGCGUAGGCGGCUGUGAUAGUCAGGUGUGAAAUCCUGCGGCUUAACCGGAGAACUGCAUCUGAAACUUCAUAGCUAGAGUACAGGAGAGGGAAACGGAAUUCCCGGUGUAGAGGUGAAAUUCGUAGAUAUCGGGAGGAACACCAGUGGCGAAGGCGGUUUCCUGGCCUGAUACUGACGCUGAGGCGCGAAAGCGUGGGGAGCAAACAGGAUUAGAUACCCUAGUAGUC